UACGUAGGGUGCAAGCGUUAAUCGGAAUUACUGGGCGUAAAGCGUGCGCAGGCGGUUGUGCAAGACCGAUGUGAAAUCCCCGGGCUCAACCUGGGAACUGCCUUUGUGACUGCAUAGCUAGAGUACGGUAGAGGGGGAUGGAAUUCCGCGUGUAGCAGUGAAAUGCGUAGAUAUGCGGAGGAACACCGAUGGCGAAGGCAAUCCCCUGGACCUGUACUGACGCUCAUGCACGAAAGCGUGGGGAGCAAACAGG
rnacentral:rRNA from 1 species